AUUGAACGCUGGCGGCAGGCUUAACACAUGCAAGUCGAACGAGUGGCGGACGGGGGAGUAAUGCUUGGGAAUCUCGCUUAUGGAGGGGGAUAACUACGGGACCCUGUAGCUAAUCCCGCGUAACAUAGGCUGCGCCCAAGGGGGAUUAGGUAGUUGGUGGUGUAAAGGCUCACCAAGCCGACGCGCUCUAGCUGGUCUGAGAGGAUGACCAGCAACACUGGGAAUUAGACACGGCCCAGACUCCGACGGGAGGCAGCAGUGGGGAAUAUUGCGCAAUGGGGGCAACCUGACGCAGCCAUGCCGCGUGAAUGAAGAAGUCCUUCGGGUUGUAAAGUUCUUUCGGUAGCGAGGCGUUAACUACAGAAGAAGCACCGGCUAACUCCGUGCCAGCAGCCGCGGUAAUUC
rnacentral:rRNA from 1 species